AAGACAUAAGUCAAUACAUAUUAUUAAAAUUUGGGAUAUCAGGGUUAUUUUGAUGUAAAGCAAAUAAAAAUACUCCAAAUAAUGGCACUACAGCAUGUAAAAAUGUAAAAAUAUGUCCUGGCGGACUUGCACAAUGGUGGGUCUUAAAGGGUUAAAGUCAAAAAAUAGUCCCAAACAUGAAUAUAAACCUGCUUUUAUUAAGGAAAUGUAAUAAAAUCCUUUGUACAUGACCUCUCCACAGAGGUUCGUUGUGUCCAUACAUGCAACUCUCUUGGUUGAGGUACUGUGACAAAUGAAAAACUAAAACCAAACUGGAUCCAAUGUCGGACGCUUAACUAAACCAGGGUCCCAUUUCGAGUUGCAGUUUGGUAAAACUAUCACCAAAUUCACAUGCACUUCAUCGGGGAGAAAAGGAUGAGAGAGUCUGGUAUACUAAACAAAUGUAGGCGCACAUGGUUUGUAGCGUUUGUAGGUUUUUUUUCCCUCCAGUUUAUAAAAAGUUCACUUAUACAAACAGACAAAUGUUUCAUUCGUUGCUUUCUUCAAUGUACAGCUCACCUUCUGCAUAAUGCAUAGACACAGAAAGCUCAUCACAACCAAAGAAGCUAUGGUGUGUUAUCAUUGACCAAAAAAUGUUGAGAAUCACAGCUGCAGAUACUGCACUUACAUGAGAACAGCUUCUAAGUGUGUACAAAGUGUAAACCAUAAGCUCAGUUAAACCACUUGAAUAUUCUGUUACAUAAAAAGGGCUCAUUUUCCUAGUCUCUAAAGUAUUUAUAAUUCUUUUGAUUCCAACAAUAUGGCACUAAGUGAUUUAAAGCGGACCUCAUUUCAAUAAAAAGAAAUUACUUCUUUUUAAAUAGUGGCAGUUGAAACAAAUGCAGUCUCACAUGGUUGGUUUAAAACAAGCAUCUAAGUGAAUACAGUCAGCUGUAAAUGAUGUCAGCAGGCUUUGAAAACAACACCUAAGCUGCUUCUGAUGACCACUAGUUUCAUAUUAUCAAUAUUUUCUGAGUAAAAACUGGGGUACAAUGUCGUCAGUUUAUUUGAUGCUUAACCCUAGUGACUGAUGCUCAUCCUAUAUUCUGACACUGAAAAUAUUCUUAUAGUAAAACAAGAAAAUGACUUUACUUCACUAAAUAUAACAUUUAUCCAACUUAAGAGUUCACCACAAAAAUAUGUCUGUAAAGGAUUCAAAUGACUUAAUAAGUACUCCAGGAUUUUGAUUGCAAAUCAUGGCUUUUUUUUCUUCUUCUUCUUCAAAAUAGAAAACAACUGAAAUUGCAACAGUUCAUCUAAUUGUCAUAUGAAGCAAUGUUUUGCGCUAGUUCCACAGAUUUUUAGUUGUUUUUUUCAAGUGAAUUAAAUUUUAUUUGCAUUGCCAUGACGCCGAAAUGCUCCAUAAGGCACUACGAGAGGCAAAUCCCACGUUUCCAGAAGCAAAAGUCCUGUUGCGUCAUUGCCCCCUGUUAGUGUGACGGGUUUCUAACCCAAAAUGAGCACUUGUUGACUGGUAGGCUUGAGUCCAAGCUGAUGACAAAAGAAGGCUGCUGCCUCCAGGAUGCCAACCUCGGAGUGUCGGGGUCACACAGAGUGGCAGUUUCCAUCCAGACGCACCAGUGGGAAUAGACACAUUUCACCUGUGCAGAGCCAAGAGACCAAGAUAAAAAAACUGGACACAUUCAUAGGCUAUAUGUGUGUGCUUGUGUGUGUCAUUUAACCCUUGUGUCAUCCUGCGGGUAAAAAUUGACCCGUUUUAAAGUUUGAAAACAUGGAAAAAAUAUAUAUAUUUUCACAGUGAAACUUCUGACGUCCACAUUUUCAACAUUUUUGGGAAAUCUUUGAACAUUUUUUGAUGGAAAAAAAAUGUUAAAAAAUGUUUAAGAACAAAAAAAAUCAACCAAAAUCCAGCCAAUUUCGGGGUGCAGAGAAAACAUUAAAAAGUACAACAAAAGAUUUUGAA
ensembl:lncRNA